rnacentral:rRNA from 1 species
GACGAACGCUGGCGGCGUGCUUAACACAUGCAAGUCGAACGGUGAAGCGCCUUCCUUUUUGGUGGGUGUGGAUGAGUGGCGAACGGGUGAGUAACACGUGAGUAACCUGCCCCCUUCUUCUGGAUAACCGCAUGAAAGUGUGGCUAAUACGGGAUAUUCUGGGUCUGUCGCAUGAUGGGUCUGGGAAAGAUAUUGUUUCGGUGGGGGAUGGGCUCGCGGCCUAUCAGCUUGUUGGUGGGGUGAUGGCCUACCAAGGCGGUGACGGGUAGCCGGCCUGAGAGGGUGGACGGUCACACUGGGACUGAGACACGGCCCAGACUCCUACGGGAGGCAGCAGUGGGGAAUAUUGCACAAUGGGCGCCAGCCUGAUGCAGCGACGCCGCGUGAGGGAUGGAGGCCUUCGGGUUGUGAACCUCUUUCGCCAGUGAAGCAGGCCUGCCUCGUUUGUGGGUGGGUUGACGGUAGCUGGAUAAGAAGCGCCGGCUAACUACGUG